UGGCAACUCUUGGUGCUGUGAGGGGACAGGGGACAGGAGGUCUGGCUACACUGAAGGCCAUAACUCUUCUCUCCAAGGUGCCUGACUAACUUAAGCUGAUCUUUGCUCUGGACCUCAAGCCCAGUUGCUAAUUCCUCCUAUAAGUAAUGGCUUUCCUUACCUAUUUUAUGCAAACGAGGAUGGAACCAGCAGUCUCCCAUGCUCUGCAUGUGGUCUACCACUGGGUUUAUGGCCAGCCUCACAGUGUUUUAAAUAAUAUGGUUCCAACAGCACCUGGUUUUAUCUAUUGGCCAUGGGUCCAUCACCAUUUUAAUAAGAGACUCCAAAUAGCUACAUAUCCUAUGUGGUUGCUCUUUAAGAAAUUUCACUUUAAGAAAUAAUCUCUUUGAAGAAAGUGAUGUGACUGACAUUUAAAGGGUACAAAUAGUUCUGUUCCAGAAUGUCCAUGUUUUGACUUGUGACAUGACAUUGUCAUCUAUAAGUACACUGGACCGCAUCCAGCUGUUCUGGGAGGUGUGGAGACUCAGGUGCUCUGAUCUCCAGCACCUCAGGUCUGUAACACUUCCUCUUACCCUAUGUUUUAGAAGGCGUCCCUUCUGUGAUGACAUUUAACAUCUUCACCAAAACCAAGUGUCUUCCAUCUCGCCUUCUUGACCCUCCACAUUUGCAGGCACAUACUCUACAAAACAUUCCUUAACAUUGACCCUCAGUAGAACAGGGUGCUGUAUUCCUGUUAUACAUUAAAACUGCUGAAGCCUUCUGUGCUUAAAUAAAUGCCAUGUCCAGCUCUCUGUCAGAAGUACCUUGCAGCUAGCUCUAGUCUUUCUGUUCCACCAAAACUACUUCUGUUUUCAGAGAUCAGAGCUCUUUCCCUUGCACACUACCAUACACACUUAGCUUCUGUAAAUUCAGCUGUCAGUCUGUGUCCCACUUCCUCUGGCUUACCAAGCCCCCAUCCCCUCCCAUGUUCCCACCCGUGUUCCCAUUAGUGGCCUUGACUGGCUUGCAUCGGUGCUUCACCUGUAUUGCAACCUCCAACGUGUUUUGCUCUCCUUUGCCCUCCUCCCACACAACUGGCAGAGCUCUAAUGCUUCAGAUGUUGGACAUGGUGUUUUUGUCCCCAGAGGGCCAGAAGCAGCCAGAAGGCCAAAGCUUGGAUAUUUACCUGGAUGUGUUGUAAUGCCUCAUUCUGAUGCCAGAAACAUUUGAGUCCAGACUUCGUCUGAACCAAUAUUUACAUGCAUAAUAACCCAUGUGUGAAAUGGUGGAAUGCAGUUCCCCAGAAUGAGUCGAUAGGGCCAGCCACUGUGAUGUUGACCACAAGCACUUGACCUAAGGAAGGCCGUUCUUUAGUCUCCUCCACCCCUUUAGAACUUGUGUUUCCCUUCCAAGUAUUACUUCCUCAGCACAUAGAGUGAGUCUCGUGCUGUCAACCUGGUAUCCAGGAUUUCAAAACUGCACUUUGGAACUUCUCUGUCCGAGGAGCCACUUGGAUGACUAAGGUGGGACAGCAACAUGAGCAACAUGCUUGAUUGUAAUUUAGGAUUAUGGUUGUUGGAAGAUGCUGACAUUGACAAGACCAGAGAGGACUUCCCACAGCAAAGGCCUGUGCUCAACUGUGAUGACAACACUCCAGCAACUCACCUGGGAACAGAUGUUAAAUCCUGGCUGGCUGAGCAGACUUGGACUUCGCACUGUCAUUUCCUGACCCUGUGACCCUUGGCCAGUGUCUUCUUUUCUUCUGCUGUACAAAUGGAGAUGCUUCCGCGAAAUGGUUUGUACAAGAAUUAAAGACCUCAGUGCUAAGUAAACGAGAGUUGGAGUCUCCAGCCAAUAGAAGACAGGUGUCCAGCCUUGGAAACUGCAUUCCAGGGAACUGAACCAAAGCAACAACAACAACAACAACAACAACAACAACAACGCUUGAUGGUGUCAAUGGAAAAGGUGACAGGAGCAUCAGGCGAGCUCAUGUCUACACUUGACAUUGGUGUGUCCUUUAAAAGGCUGCCUGCCCAUAUGGAUUCAGUAAGAGAAAGAACCUGGCCAUAUCAUUGCUUUGGCAACAAGCUCCGAGUGUGGCGAGACCUGAUUUUUGUUCUUUUCAUCUAGUGUGGACUAUAGUUAGUGUGUGACCUUUUCAUUUCAUACUUUUCCCCUUUGUUUGGGGUGUGUUUGUUUCCGAAUGGUUAAAAUCAAUCAAUCAAUCAAUCAAUCAAUCAAUCAAUCAAACAAACAAAUAAACAGUCAUCAAGAGGAUAUUUGAAACAGUUUGUAGAACAAACCUAGGUUAAACACUGACACCUGCCCAGAGGGUCAACAGGAAAAGUUUUUUUCACUUCCCUGAGUGGGGUGAGAUCCAAAAUCUUGAAGGAUUCACUCUGGAAGGAGACUCUAACAGGAGGAGCAUGUGGACAAGCAGGUCUUCCUUCUAGAAGCCCCUGGGCCCCCACUUGAGCAGCCAAGGUGCCUGAGAACCAGGUCUGGGUAGGUUUGCCUGGGGUAGGUUUGCCUGGGGUAGGUUUGCCUAGGGUAGGUUUGCCUGGGGUAGGUUUGCCUGGGGUAGGUUUGCCUAGGGUAGGUCUGAGUGUGCAGAGCAGCUGAACCAAGCUGGAUGCUUUAAUGAGAUAGGCGCUACAUUAAAAAAACAACAACAACAAAAAAA
rnacentral:sRNA from 1 species